GCCCGGCCUAAUUUUGAGGCCUUGGGAGCACCAAAAGAGCAGCGGUUUUGUAAACCGAAGGUCGCGGGUUCGAUCCCUGCAACCGGCACCA
rnacentral:tRNA from 1 species